AUUGAACGCUGGCGGCAUGCCUUACACAUGCAAGUCGAACGGCAGCACGGGAGCAAUCCUGGUGGCGAGUGGCGAACGGGUGAGUAAUAUAUCGGAACAUACCCUAGAGUGGGGGAUAACGUAGCGAAAGUUACGCUAAUACCGCAUACGCACUAAGGUGGAAAGUGGGGGGAUUCGCAAGAACCUCAUGCUCAUGGAGUGGCCGAUAUCUGAUUAGCUAGUUGGUGAGGUAAAGGCUCACCAAGGCGACGAUCAGUAGCUGGUUUGAGAGAACGACCAGCCACACUGGAACUGAGACACGGUCCAGACUCCUACCGGGAGGCAGCAGUGGGGAAUAUUGGACAAUGGGCGAAAGCCUGAUCCAGCCAUGCCGCGUGUGUGAAGAAGGU
rnacentral:rRNA from 1 species